UACGGGGGGGGCAAGCGUUGUUCGGAAUUACUGGGCGUAAAGGGCUCGUAGGUGGCCAACUAAGUCGGACGUGAAAUCCCUCAGCUUAACUGGGGAACUGCGUCCGAUACUGGAUGGCCUGAGUUUGGGAGAGGGAUGCGGAAUUCCAGGUGUAGCAGUGAAAUGCGUAGAUAUCUGGAGGAACACCGGUGGCGAAGGCGGCAUCCUGGACCAACACUGACACUGAUGAGCGAAAGCCAGGGGAGCAAACGGG
rnacentral:rRNA from 1 species